rnacentral:rRNA from 1 species
CAGUUUACAACCCAUAGGUAAACUGCUUUUAUACGGGAAGAAACGCACCUACGUGUAGGUGUCUGACGGUACCGUAAGAAUAAGGACCGGCUAACUCCGUGCCAGCAGCCGCGGUAAUACGGAGGGUCCGAGCGUUAUCCGGAAUCAUUGGGUUUAAAGGGUCCGUAGGCGGGCCUGUAAGUCAGGGGUGAAAGUUUGUGGCUCAACCAUAAAAUUGCCUUUGAUACUGCAGGUCUUGAGUCAUGGUGGGGUUGCCGGAACAUGUGGUGUAGCGGUGAAAUGCAUAGAUAUCACAUAGAACACCGAUCGCGAAGGCAGGUGACCAACCAUGUACUGACGCUGAUGGACGAAAGCGUGGGUAGCGAACGGGAUUAGAUACCCCGGUAGUCCACGCCGUAAACGAUGGAUACUAGCUGUGGGGACUUCGGUCUCCGUGGCCAAGCGAAAGUGAUAAGUAUCCCACCUGGGGAGUACGUUCGCAAGAAUGAAACUCAAAGGAAUUGACGGGGGCCCGCACAAGCGGUGGAGCAUGUGGUUUAAUUCGAUGAUACGCGAGGAACCUUACCAGGGCUUAAAUGCAGGCUGCAUGGGGUGGAGACACCCCUUUCUUCGGACCGCCUGCAAGGUGCUGCAUGGUUGUCGUCAGCUCGUGCCGUGAGGUGUCAGGUUAAGUCCUAUAACGAGCGCAACCCCUACCGUUAGUUGCCAGCAUGUCAAGAUGGGGACUCUAACGGGACUGCCGGUGCAAACCGUGAGGAAGGUGGGGAUGACGUCAAAUCAUCACGGCCCUUACGUCCUGGGCUACACACGUGCUACAAUGGCCGGUACAGAGGGAAGCCACCCCGCAAGGGGGCGCGGAUCUACAAAACCGGUCACAGUUCGGAUCGGGGUCUGCAACUCGACCCCGUGAAGCUGGAAUCGCUAGUAAUCGGAUAUCAGCCAUGAUCCGGUGAAUACGUUCCCGGGCCUUGUACACACCGCCCGUCAAGCCAUGGAAGCCGGGAGUGCCUGAAGUCCGUCACCGCAAGGAGCGGCCUAGGGCAAAAUCGGUAACUAGGGCUAAGUCGUAACAAGGUAGCCGUACCGGAAGGUGCGGCUG